rnacentral:tRNA from 1 species
GUUGUCAUAGCUUAAAGCUUCAAAGCGCGGCACUGAAGAUGCCGAAAUGGACUACACCUGAUAACA